rnacentral:rRNA from 1 species
AACGUAGGUGGCGAGCGUUAUCCGGAAUUACUGGGCGUAAAGGGUGCGCAGGCGGCGUCGCAAGUCAGGCGUGAAAUCCCCGGGCUUAACCUGGGAAUGGCAUUUGGGACUGCAAGGCUUGAGUGCGGCAGAGGAGACUGGAAUUCCUGGUGUAGCAGUGAAAUGCGUAGAUAUCAGGAGGAACACCGAUGGCGAAGGCAGGUCUCUGGGCUGACACUGACGCUCAUGCACGAAAGCGUGGGGAGCAAACAGG